GACGAACGCUGGCGGCGUGCCUAAUACAUGCAAGUUGAGCGCUGAGGGGUGGUACUUGUACCAACUGGGUGAGCAGCGAACGGGUGAGUAACGCGUGGAGAAUCUGCCUUUGAGCGGGGGACAACAUUUGGAAACGAAUGCUAAUACCGCAUAAUAACUUUAAACACAAGUUUUAAUUUUGAAAGAUGCAAUUGCAUCACUCAAUGAUUAGCCCGCGGUGUAUUAGCUAGUUGGUGAGGUAAAGGCUCAACAAGGCGAUGAUACAUAGCCCACCUGAGAGGGUGGUCGGCCACAUCGGGAAUGAGAAAAGGCUCCAACCCCCAAGGGGGGCAGCAGGAGGGGAUCUUUGGCCAUGGACGAAAGUCUGAACGAGCAAAGCCGCGGGAGUGAAGAAGGUUUUCGGAUCGUAAAACUCUGUUGGUAGAGAAGAAAGUUGGUGAGAGUGGAAAGCUCAUCAAGUGACGGUAACUAACCAGAAAGGCACGGCUAACUACGUG
rnacentral:rRNA from 1 species